AAGUGUUUCUGAACAAGCAACAGGAUGGAGAAACCCUGGAGAGAGGAGUCAGGAGUUCCACGUGCUCUGUCAGCCAGCGACUGGUAAUGACCUUGGACAAGCCUGCACCUCCCUUCAUUUGUCCCUAAAGGAGAAAUAAAAAUACGCAUCUACGUUCUUCUCGGGUCUCUGCCCCGUUGCUGAAGGUAAAGGUCCUGAGAAAAACCAGCAUCGACCGCAGCUGUCCUCAGGGAUACGUGUACACUCAAGAUAAGUGGUAAAUAACACCCAGCAAAGAAGAAAGCCAGGGAGGAGGCUGACAGCAGGGGUGAUGGCUCGUGUUUCCUGCAGGGAGGGAAGCCACAUAUCCCAGGAGGCCGGAGCCCAGCUCUCCGGUGGCUCCUUCCACCCAUUUUGGGUGGGAUUUCGUAAGAACCCGGCCCCUGUUUCUUACAUCUCUGUCCCUAGCUCCUGGGCACGCUGAGUGAAUGGACAGGCUCUGACUGCACAGCCCUUCCGAGACUGUGCUGCCGGGCUCUGGGGGUGUGGGGCUCCUGCAAAGGUCCUGGUGCAGCCGUCAGGAUCUUCUCCCCAUCAGAAGCCCGCCAGGUCAGCGCUGCAAGGAAAGGAGCUCAGCAAACUCUGAAAAGAUAUGGAGGAAACUGAGCUGCACAUUGCUGAGUGACAGUCUGAAAAGCCUGCAUACUGGAUGAUUCCAACUAGAGGACAUUUCUGGAAAAGGCAAAACUACAGAGAAAAUAAAAAGAUCGGGGGUUGCCAGGGCUUGGGCGGGAGGGACGGAUGGAUAGGUGGUACACAGAGGGCUUUUAGGGCAGUGACACUCUCCUGGGUGGUGCUAUAACGAUGGAUACAUGUCAUUCUACGUUUGUCCAAACCCAUAGAAUACAACACCGAGAGUGAAUUCUGAUCGACUUUAGUUAAUAGUGGUGUAUCCAUACUGGCUCGUCAGUUGCAACAAAUGUGCCACUAAGGCGAGAGGUUAAUUACAGCUUAAUAACAGGCAAGGGGCGCCUGGGUGGCUCAGUCCAGUUAAGUUUCUGACUCUUGACUUCAGCUCAGGUCAUGAGCGUAAGGUUUGUGAGAUCGCGCCCCUGCA